UCAGAAAGAGCCGCCUGGGUCACGUGGCUGACAUUCUGGCGACCUCAGGUCACGACGCCACAAAGCUGGGAAAGUAAGAGUAAGAACCGGUUCUUCUGUCUGCUGGCUACAGCUUCACCGCUCCGUCCCAAAGGGAAAUUUGCCGUAAAUUGUAUGGACAGUCCCCAACCAUGCCAAAGUGAAAACACUGGUUGCAUUCCGGGACAGAGGGAAGAAAGCACUGGUUCCCAACAUCAAUAUAUUAUUUCAGAAUUACAUGAACAAUACUACUACCAAGAAUAAACCAGGCCCGGCGCGGUGGCUUGAGGCGGGUGGAUCGCUCAAGGACAUUGCUUGGAUGUCCCAUGAAAUGUUUUACCAGUAAUUAUAUUUCUAUGCCAAACAACAAAAGUGUGCCCAGACCUGUGUGAUAACUGAAAUGCUGCACUCUGGUAAUGAAGUCAGUAGAAUACUAUUGCUAUACUAAUAUUUAAUACAAAAGAGCAGCAAAAUGGAAUAUGUUUUUAUUUAUUUAUUACAGCAUAUCGUAGAGGU